UUUUUUUUAUCCCAAACUACAUUGUCAGGUGAUUUCUUUUCACCUUUUAAAAGCAUUUGACUUCUUGCUAACAUCUGUUGCAGCCCUUCCACAUCCACAAAAUAUUCCAGUUUCUAUUCUUCACAGUUUGUUCGUGAAGGGUGACAUGAUGGGGUUUGAACUGGGAGAGGAUGACUUGGAGGCUUCUGGGCUAUAUCCAGACCUGGAAUUUAGAACAAUCGAUCAACUUCUUGAUAUUUUUCUCACUAGCCCUCCAGAUCCUGCAGCUGCUGCUUUUGAAUGAGUUUUAUGAUCUGUGAUUUCCAUGUCUUGAAUUUGUUUUCUUGUUUGUAACGUCCGCAGAUAGACGGACAUCUAAAAGGUCAGGUUACUCUGGUCUACGUUCGUAUUGUGUUGGGUUACUUGUUCACGCAUCAUGUUUAUCACAUGAAAGUUUCUUCUUUUUUUUUGCUUUCCUUGUCAUUUUCUCGAGUUCAAGAUUGUGUGACUUUUUUUUGUUUUUAGUACUCGAGAUGCUAUUAAAAGAGGACCAGAUUACCAAUAAGUUAAUGUAAAUCUAGUUGGUAGGGGAGAAGAGUUCGGACCCAGAGAGAAAAAAAGAUGGCAGGAAAACAAGAGCAAAAACUAUACACAAGUCAGCAUUAAUUAGACCAGAGUAGAAUGCCUUGGGGACCUCUUAGCAGAUCAUCCCCACUGUAGGUGAAAUUAGAGUCUAGAGUUCUGAGCCUCUGAAGAAUGAGAUCAAAGAUGGAAUUCCAAUCUUUAUCCGUAGUGUUUGGCAUACACCAACUGGUACCGAUCCAGUUUAUAAAAUGUUGCCAUAAUUUCCAAGAUUUAUAGCCAUGAGAUUUAUACUCUAGUGCCACAGAAAGGACAAGAUGCUUCUUCUAGUGUAAUUAAAUUUCUCUUUACAAGGAUCCAUCUUGAAGUAUAGAAAGAAAUAUCUUAACCGAUAAUUAAUUUCUACAAUAUAAGUUGCGUGAUUUUUUGUAUGAGACGCAAAAAAAUAGCAAAAACAAAUAUGCUAAGGAAAGAGGUCAUCCAAACUAGAGAGACAUAGCAGUUUGGAGGGAUUUCAGACCACCACAUUUCUUGGAGGUUGUAUGGGCAAAUUACAUCCAGCACGUGACGUUCGAGCGUUUCAUGCGACCGUCGCAUUUCAGUGUGGAUAGAAACUAAAGCAUUUAAAAUACGAAUUAAAGAAAUUCUAGUUACAAGAGAAAAUGUAUCAAAAUAAUUCAUAUUUUGUUUUUGAGUAAAACUUUUUGCAACUAAUCUUGCUUUGUAUUUAUCUAAAGAAUUAUUAUGAAUUUUUUUAAACAUCCAUUUGCAACCAAUAGGUAUUGCACCUAGGAGCAAAUCAACAAUCUUCCAAGUUUGAUUUUGUAAAAGUGAAUCAAUUUCAACUUUAAUUACUUUUUACCAAACCAAAGAUUCAAAAGAAGAGACAGUUUCAUUUUUUUUUUAAUUAACGUGAGUGUUCGGGCCAGCUUGCGCGCACCUCGACUAAUCUCACGGCCCUGAAGUUAACGACCAUGUAAGCCUUCAGUGGCCCUGAGGUUUGUGGGACUCGAACUGGUGACCUCUAGGAAGCAAACUUAGAACCUAACCAAUUGAACUACACCCCUCAGGGUUAUUUGAUUCAACCCUAUCAUUAUUUGAUUUAGUUGUGAAUAUUGGACCCAAAAAUGACAAAUUAAAGAAAAUAUAUAAAUGGUGCUAAAUACAAAUCCAAAAGUUAGCUAACAGUUCUCGUUUUCUUUUUCAUAGAAUGAGAAGUUUCAUUGGAAUAUCAGGGGAAGAUGAACAGUGCAGUAGAGGAGGAAGAGAGUUCCUUUGUGUGUGUGUGUGAAAGAAUAUAAACAGAAUAAAACACUAAGAAAGCUCAGCUCUUCAAUCUCACUGCGAAUCUACCUCAUAAAAGUUGUAGCAGAGAAACAAAGGAAAGCUGGAAAAACAAUUAUGGCAAAGGAAAACAUCCUUUAUUUAAAUAUUCUAAAUUGCAAUUCCAUCCAAAUGCUACAAAACAAAGCAAAUAUAGGAGGAUAUUUGGUUACACCUGUAAGAGCAGCAGAUAUAUCUGUGAUUGCAAUGAAUAAAAUUUCCCUCUUGAUUUUAUUUGAUAGCAGGUCUAUGUUAUAUACAGAGUAAUUAAGAGUAUAAGAUAGGAAACCUGUAAAUGAUGAGCUAAUUCUAUGCUACCGUUACAAUUUACAGCUAUAUAAUUCAAGCUUAGAAUCAGCUCUUAAAACCAGAAUUAAUGAUAGAAUAUUUUCCAUGAUUUUUGGCUAGACAUGCUCUGGAGAUCCCAAGUCCCAUGUUUCAUCAGAGCAGUAAGCUCUGUAGACAUAGCUUCACGCUAGCGAUGAUGAGAAAUGGCUUGGUUUACACUCAUUGGUUCUAGGAUGGGAGGAAGGGGAUGCUUGGAGACUGUAUGAACUUGUUUAGGUUUGAAAAUUCUGUUCAUUGAUCUGGUGGUCAUUGUGCGAGUGCGGUGAGCUGGAUCUGUGAAGCUGGAGGUUUGGAGAUGAGGAUCGGGAGGUAGAUGUGUAUCAGUAGGACAUGAUGAUGACAAAGGUAAUGGAGGACCAGUUCGAUGUGGAGGUGGAGGUGGAGAAGGAUGCGGGGGAGGGAUGCUGGAAUUAGAUGGCAAAGGAGCAGGAAGUAAAGAAACACAGGGUUCAGAAUUACCUGAGGAGGACGCAACAAUGGCAGGUGAACCUUCCUGAGAGAGCAAUGAGGCAGAGGAUCCGGACAGCACUGAUGGAGGCACUGUAGUCGGCUGGGCAUCAAAAAAAGGAGGAUGAGUGGAAAACACUGGAGAUGAUUGUGAUGACACUGAGGAUAUAGGGGAAGAGGGGCGGAUGUGCUGGUGAUGUUCAUCAAAGAGCACGUGGCGGGAGAGAAAUAAUUUUUUGGUUUGAGGGUCAAAGCACUGGUAUGCAUUCUGAGUUUUGGAAUAACCGAGAAAAAGACAAGGCUUUGAUUUUGGUUGCAUUUUAUUGGAGUUAUAGGAUCGUGUCAGUGGAUAACAAAGACAACCAAAUUUUUUUAAUUUUAAGUAGUUUGGUGGUUUACCAAAAAGAACUUCAAAAGGGGAUUUGCCCUGAAGAAGAGGGGUGGGUUGUCUGUUGAUGAGAUAAGAUGCGGUUUGAAAAGCAUAGGGCCAGCAAGGUGUGCAUCAUGAAGAAGUGUAAGGCCGGUCUCAACAAGAUGACGGUGACGACGUUCGGAGACACUAUUUUGUUGGGGAGUGUAUGGAGCAGUGGUGUAGUGAGAUAUGCCAUGAUGUAAAAGAUAGGAUUUUAAAGCUAUACACUCACCACCAUUGUCGGAGUAAAGUGUUUUGAUGGAUUUUUGAAAACGGGUUUCAACAAACUUUCUGAAAUGUGGAAAAAUUGUGGAAACACUUGAUUUUGUGAUCAUUGGAUAGAACCAUAUAUAUUUUGUGUAAUGAUCGACAAAAAUAAGGUAAUAUUUGGAUCCAUCAAUGGCAGUAUAAUUUGCAGGACCCCACACAUCGGUAUAUAUUAAUUCAAGGGGUUCAUGACUCUGAAGACUAGUUGCACGAAAAGGCUGUUGAUGGGCUUUAUUAAUAGAACACGAAUGACAUAAUGAAGACAACUUGUUGGUUGAUGAAGUAGGAAGGGAAAAAUUCUUAACAAGGUGAUGAACAAUUUUAAGGGUAGGAUGCCCAAGACGUUUGUGCCAUCCAUCAAUAGAAGUUCGUUCAUGCACAUUAGCAGCCUUUUUGGAUGCCGUCAUUGAGGUGGGGAAGGUGUAAAUGCCAUUGUUACAUGCUCCUUUUAGUAGAAUCGUCCUCGUGAUCUCGUCCUUCACAAGAAAAUAAAAUGGGUGAAAUUCAACAAAGACAUUAUUUUGUUUGGUGAGAUGAUGAACAGAAAUCAAAUUUUUGCAGAGAUUAGGAACACAAAGAGUAUCACGCAAAGUAAAAGUGCGAUGAGGUGAGUGUAAAACCAAAGAACCAAUGUGUGAAACCGGCAAACCUGAACCAUCACCGAGAAUUACUUCAUCAGUUCCAUCAUAUUCAGAAUGAAUAGAUAAAUUGGAAAUAUCACCCGUGAUAUUACGAGAAGCAGCUGUAUCAAGCAACCAAGCUUUAUCCUUUCCAGUAGAAGUUGUGGCACAAUUUGCAGAGGCAUGCUGCGAGUGAUAUUGAGGACAGGACUUAGCAGUAUGGCCCAUGUGGUCACAAAUUUGACAUUUUGGCUGGGACCGCCUAUUAAAAUUAUUUGACCUGCCAGAAUAGUUGUUGGAUCUAUAUCCAUCUCGUUGAAAAUUGUUUCGGCCUGAGUGAUAGCUUUGAUGUCCACGUGGAGUAGAGUAAUUGUUGGAUGACCACGAUUUAUUUCCCCUUUGAGCAUACUGUUUCGUCUUUGUGAAAUUGGCAGAGGCAACCAAUUGCUGCGUUGCAGUUUCCAGCCGCCUCAAAUAUGCUUCAUGUCCAACGAGAAGAUCAUGCAGCUCUUCAAACGUCAAUGAUGAUUCUCUGGUUCGAAUCGGUGCUGCAAUCUCCCGAAAAUCUGGACCUAAGCCAUUCAACACAUAAAGGGUUAGAUCAUCAUCUGAAAUUGAAUGAUCGAUAAUGGCUAUUUCAUCAGCCAAGGCCUUCACAGUAUGAAGAUAUUCUGGAAUUGACCGAUUUCCUCGCUGGAUUAAGGUGAGUUCUUCCUUUAACUGCAUAGCACGAGUUCUGGAUCUGCUAGCAUAUAGGUUUUUUAGUUUUUUCCAAGCUUCAUGGGAAGUCUUUGCUGCAGCAAUAAGUGGAGUAAUUGAAGGAGAUGUGGAGGCUAAAAUAGCACUCAGGAUAAGCUUAUCCUGUCGAACCCAGUGGGUCUUGCGCAGCUCAUCAACUGCUAUUCCUGUAGAUGAGGGACACGGAAUGGUGCCUUCGACGUAGUCGAGUAGAUCAUAACCAAUGAGGAGAGCUUCAAAUUGUGCACGCCAUUGAGGGAAGGUGGAGGGAGUAAGCUUUUCAUUGAUUUGUGCUGUGAUGUUGAGGGCAAUCAAUGGCUUAUCUGCUGCGGAAGGAGGUUGGGUGUUGAGAGUAAAAUUUGGAUUUUGAUCGGAGGAGCUCAUGGUGGCGAUUUGGAUCUGUGACUCGUUAGAGAUUGGUAGCUCUGAUACCAUGUAAGAGCAGCAGAUAUAUCUGUGAUUGCAAUGAAUAAAAUUUCCCUCUUGAUUUUAUUUGAUAGCAGGUCUAUGUUAUAUACAGAGUAAUUAAGAGUAUAAGAUAGGAAACCUGUAAAUGAUGAGCUAAUUCUAUGCUACCGUUACAAUUUACAGCUAUAUAAUUCAAGCUUAGAAUCAGCUCUUAAAACCAGAAUUAAUGAUAGAAUAUUUUCCAUGAUUUUUGGCUAGACAUGCUCUGUGUUGAUUUGAGCAGGAUUAACACAUGCUUCCUUUACAACACCUGGAAGCAGAGAAACAAAGGAUAGCUGGAAAAACAAUUAUGGCAAAGGAAAACAUCCUUUAUUUAAAUAUUCUAAAUUGCAAUUCCAUCCAAAUGCUACAAAACAAAGCAAAUAUAGGAGGAUAUUUGGUUACACCUUCCACCUUUUGAAUUCUCAAGCCAUCAAGCCUUAAAAAUUUGAGGUCUGAUGAAAAAUGGCAUUAAAUAAUAAUAAAUGAAGGGGAAAAAAAACUAACUACUCACUUUUCCAUUCAAAUUCAAAUCUGAAAUCUUUUUUUAUUAGGGUUUGUAUUUAUCGGAUUCAAUCAGUAUAUCCGAUUUUUAAACAAAACAACUCAAAUCUGCUAUGUAUUUAGGGUGGCAAAGAAAUUCUUAGGCAUGUAAAGACUUGCACUCUGCCCUCGGACAAAUCAUGGGACCUCCUAUGAAAAUUAUUGUAAAAUAAAAUGACAAAAAGACUUUGGAUCUUUUCAGCACAAAAUUAAGAGCAGAAGGGUGUAUGAUGACAGUAACCUGAGGUCAAUUUUCUGCUCUAUAAAUAAUCUAGCGGGUGAGGUAGAUUAAUAGCUAGAACUGUUCACAAUAACGAUAAUUCUCCCUGCAACACUUGAAAACUGUUUAGUUAUAUAACGUCAUUCUUUUGAACACGUACAUGUAAUUAAUAGACACUUGAACAAUGGGGUAAGAUUAUUCAAUAUAUACUUGAACAAUGGUGACCCGUAUGGCUUGGAAUUCCUUGUGGAUGCCUAUUUUAGCAGGAGAAGAUUGUGUGGUGAAGGAAUUCCAUUGUUCAAGUGUCUAUUAAUUACAUGUACGGAAUUCCAACCUCAAGAUAUCUCUGUUUAUGGCUCUGGUGAAGCUAUGGGUACGAAAACAUCUAUUCCAUACAUUCAUUAUCGUUAUUGUGUAAAUCAAAAUCCAAAUUCACUGUACACAUACACUACAUCAAUAUUAUCUAUAUAUUAUGUUUAACAGUGGUGAUAAACUAUGAAGAAGAUAUAGCCAUGUACACCAUCAAAAUAGCUGAUGACCCCGAAACAUACAAUCGAGUUUUAAUCUAUCGGCCGCAGAAGAACAUUGUAUCUCAGCUUGAACUUAUUUCCCUUUGGGAGAAGAAGACUGGAAAGACUUUUAAUAGGAUUCACGUCCCUGAGGAUGAAAUAGUGAAGCUCUCUGAAAGUAAGAAAUUUUUGUUGACUCGCUAUUUUUUAAUAUUUGAUGUAAUUUGGCUUCUUGCCCUUUUCAUUUGAUUAAUGGGAUUCAUCUGUUCUAUAUAUAUAUAUAUAUAUAUAUAUAUAUAUAUAUAUAUAUAUAUAUAUAUAUAUAUAUAUAUAUAUAUAUAUAUAAAUUUUCUGCUCUAUAAAUAAUCUAGCGGGUGAGGUAGAUUAAUAGCUAGAACUGUUCACAAUAACGAUAAUUCUCCCUGCAACACUUGAAAACUGUUUAGUUAUAUAACGUCAUUCUUUUGAACACGUACAUGUAAUUAAUAGACACUUGAACAAUGGGGUAAGAUUAUUCAAUAUAUACUUGAACAAUUUGUUUGUGAGAUUCUUUUCACCUUUUAAAAGGAUUUGACUUCUUGCUAACAUCUGCUGCAGCCCUUCCACAUCCACAAAAUAUUCCAGUUUCUAUUCUUCACAGUCUGUUCGUGAAGGGUGACAUGAUGGGGUUUGAACUGGGAGAGGAUGACUUGGAGGCUUCUGGGCUAUAUCCAGACCUGGAAUUUAGAACAAUCGAUCAACUUCUUGAUAUUUUUCUCACUAGCCCUCCAGAUCCUGCAGCUGCUGCUUUUGAAUGAGUUUUAUGAUCUGUGAUUUCCAUGUCUUGAAUUCGUUUUCUUGUUUGUCGGCAGAUAUACAGACAUCU
rnacentral:lncRNA from 1 species